rnacentral:rRNA from 1 species
AAACCGCUGGAAGGGAAGCGAAUGGAGCCGGCAAUUCACCUGGCCAGAUUCAGUCACUCGCUUUCCACAACGCGCUCGCACUUCGCGAUCUUUCGGGACGCAUCUUGUGCGACGUGGGAUGGGCGUGGUGCACUUCUGCCUCGUGAACGUCAACGUCAGUUCACUGCGAGUCAAGCGGCCGGGAGGACGGUAGGUCACCCUUUUGGGUGAUCGGUGUAAGCCUUUCGUGCACACGGCUACACGUGGACUGUGUUAUGUCGCAGGGCGUGCCUCCCUUCCGAGGGCAGGCUGCAGUCUCGUCGCUCGGUCCGUUCAUGGYGCUAGGCGGACGGCUACGCCUGUGCGUCACAAGCGCCGGCGGUCGAGUGGCGAGGGAAACMGACACGACGCGUUGAGUACGUUGACCGCCAAGCGGCUCCAUCCGACCCGUCUUGAAACACGGACCAAGGAGUCUAACAUGUGCGCGAGUCUCAGGGUGAACGAAACYCGUGGGCGUAAUGAAAGUAAAUGCGCCUUGUGCGCAGAGGUGAGAAGUUCGUCGCAGAGCUGCAUCACCGACCGACCUGUUCUACUCUUAGAAAGGUUUGAGUUCGAGCGCACCUGUUGGGACCCGAAAGAUGGUGAACUAUGCCUGAGUAGGGUGAAGCCAGCGGAAACACUGG